rnacentral:rRNA from 1 species
UGGGGAAUAUUGGACAAUGGGGGAAACCCUGAUCCAGCAAUGCCGCGUGAGUGAAGAAGGCCUUAGGGUUGUAAAGCUCUUUCGCCCGCGAAGAUAAUGACGGUAGCGGGAGAAGAAGCCCCGGCUAACUCCGUGCCAGCAGCCGCGGUAAUACGGAGGGGGCUAGCGUUGUUCGGAAUUACUGGGCGUAAAGCGUACGUAGGCGGAUGCGCAAGUUGGGGGUGAAAUCCCGGGGCUUAACCUCGGAAGUGCCCUAAAAACUGCAAGUCUUGAGACCGAGAGAGGGAAGGGGAAUUCCUAGUGUAGAGGUGAAAUUCGUAGAUAUUAGGAAGAACACCAGUGGCGAAGGCGCCUUACUGGCUCGGUACGGAAGCUGAGGUACGAAAGCGUGGGAGCAAAC